CCCUUAGAUGUUCUGGGCCGCACGCGUGCUACACUGAGUGGAUCAGCGGGUCAGGUUGCGCGAAAGUGUUUCCUAAUCUUGAAAUCCGCUCGUGAUGGGGAUUGACGGUUGCAAUUUUCCGUCAUGAACGAGGAAUACCUUGUAAGCGCGGGUCAUCAUCCCGCGCUGAAUACGUCUCUGCCCUUUGUACACACCGCCCGUCGCUCCUACCGAUUGAGUGGUCCGGUGAGGCUUUGGGAUCUGAGCGGAAAGAGCGUUUCGCUGUUUCUGCUCGGAAAACUCAGUCGAACCUUAUCAUUUAGAGGAAGGAGAAGUCGUAACA
rnacentral:rRNA from 1 species